GACGAACGCUGGCGGCGUGCUUAACACAUGCAAGUCGAACGGAAAGGCCCUGCUUGCAGGGUACUCGAGUGGCGAACGGGUGAGUAACACGUGGGUGAUCUGCCCUGCACUUCGGGAUAAGCCUGGGAAACUGGGUCUAAUACCGGAUAGGAGCCAUUUUUAGUGUGAUGGUUGGAAAGUUUUUUCGGUGUAGGAUGAGCUCGCGGCCUAUCAGCUUGUUGGUGGGGUAAUGGCCUACCAAGGCGGCGACGGGUAGCCGGCCUGAGAGGGUGGACGGCCACAUUGGGACUGAGAUACGGCCCAGACUCCUACGGGAGGCAGCGGUGGGGAAUAUUGCACAAUGGGCGCAAGCCUGAUGCAGCGACGCCGCGUGGGGGAUGACGGCCUUCGGGUUGUAAACUGCUUUCGCCAGGGACGAAGCUUUUUGUGACGGUACCUAGAUAAGAAGCACCGGCUAACUACGUG
rnacentral:rRNA from 1 species